ensembl:lncRNA
AGAGAAUCUGUCUUGUUAUGAAAAUGCUGAAUAGUGGAAUGGAGAAAGGUAGUAUAAUAUAAAGUCACUCUAAACAGAGCUAAUGAUACCAAAUAGUGAUUUUCAACCUGUGGGUUAUGACCGCUUUGGGGUUGAGCAGUCCUUUCACAGGAGUCAACCUAUCAGAUAUUUACAUUAUGAUUCAUAACAGUAGCAAAAUUGUAAUUAUGAAGUAGCAACAAAAAUAACGUUAUGGUUAGAGGUGACCACAACAUGAGGAACUGUAUUAAAGGGUCACAACAUCAAGAAUGUUGAGAAUCUCUGACAUACAAUCUUAUGAACACCACAUAAAUAAGGUAGGACCAGGAGUCCAGUUUGAUUGUGUUGUUCCUUACAGUCAUUUCCACAAUUAUUCCAAAUGUGCCAUAAGCAAAUUAGACAUAGAUUCUCUUGUCAUUAAAUUGAUUAUUUUGGGUGGCAGGUGUGUGUGUCUAUAGCUGUCACCAAAUCUAUACCAGCAUUGUAAUUUGUAAGGACACUAACCAACAGUCUGUAUUUUCCUGAAUAAAAAAAAAAUCCAGAGGAAAGAAUCCCUAUUCAGCAAUAUAUUAUGAACUACUCUGUUACUGCAGGGAAACAGAAUGGACACCUUCUCAAAAUUGGUUUCAGAUGUUGAUACUAGGCACUUGACACACACCAAGAAGGCAUGAGAAACUUUAUCACAUUCAUAAGUAGUUCUGGAGAAAGCAGAGCAGGCAUUCCAAACAAAUCUGAAAUGGAUCAAGAAAAGCAAGAAAGUAGUACCUAAGCUUUCCCCCUCGCUUUGCAGAUGUGAAGACAACUCAUAGAACAGGGAAAACUCAAAUGCAGAAUUACAAACCAGAAAUUUCUGACUGUUCAACAGGAUCAAGUUCAUGGAAUCAAAGGACUUUUUGCUGGAAAUAUUUGGUAAAAAUGAAAACUCAACGAUACAGAUACUUCAGAAAAUAAAGAUAAGGGCUACAGAAAUGACUCAGCAUUUAAAGCCCUUACUGCUUUUUCAGAAGAUCUGAGUUUGGUUCGUUGUUUCUCCAUGCCAGGAGCUCACCAAUACCUGUAACACUAGCUCCAGGGUAUCCAAUACCUUUGGCCUUCACAAGCAUCUGAACUCAUUUGUACACACACACACACACACACACACACACACACACACACACACACACUUAAAAAUGAUAUUUUUUAAAGUAAUGAAAAAUAACUACUGAUCAAAUUUUGGAAAUAUGCUAUACAAUUUGCCACAUAUAAUGAAGGCAAUAAUCUAAUAAGAUACUGUUGGCUAACUGCACUUAAAACAAGAACUCAAACAGGAACCUCAUAUAGCUGUCUCCUGAGAGGCUCUGCCAGAGCAUGACAAAUACAGAAGUGGUCGCUUGUUGCCAACCGUUGAACCAAGAAUGAAGUCCCUGGUGGAGGAGUUAGAGAAAGGAUUGAAGGAGCUGAAGGGGCUUGCAACCCCAUAAGAACGAUACCAACCAACCAGAGCUCCCAGGGACUAAAUCACUACCCAAAGACUACACAUGGACAGACCCAUGGCUCCAGCUGCAUAUGUAGCAGAGGAUGACCUUGUUGGGCACAAAUGGGAG